rnacentral:rRNA from 1 species
UACGUAGGGUGCGAGCGUUGUCCGGAAUUACUGGGCGUAAAGAGCUCGUAGGUGGUUUGUCGCGUUGUCCGUGAAAACUCACAGCUCAACUGUGGGCGUGCGGGCGAUACGGGCAGACUGGAGUACUGCAGGGGAGACUGGAAUUCCUGGUGUAGCGGUGGAAUGCGCAGAUAUCAGGAAGAACACCGACGGCGAAGGCAGCUCGCUGGGACGGUACUGACGCUGAGGAGCGAAAGCGUGGGUAGCAAACAGG